UGGGGAAUCUUGCGCAAUGGGGGCAACCCUGACGCAGCGACGCCGCGUGCGGGAAGGAGGCCUUCGGGUCGUAAACCGCUUUCAGCAGGGACGAGGAUGACGGUACCUGCAGAAGAAGCCCCGGCUAACUACGUGCCAGCAGCCGCGGUAAUACGUAGGGGGCGAGCGUUAUCCGGAUUCAUUGGGCGUAAAGCGCGCGUAGGCGGCCGCGCAGGCGGGGCGUAAAAUGCCGGGGCUCAACCCCGGCCCGCGCCCCGAACCGCGCGGCUUGGGUCCGGCAGGGGAGGGUGGAACACCCGGUGUAGCGGUGGAAUGCGCAGAUAUCGGGUGGAACACCGGUGGCGAAGGCGGCCCUCUGGGCCGGCACCGACGCUGAGGCGCGAAAGCUGGGGGAGCGAACAGG
rnacentral:rRNA from 1 species